rnacentral:ncRNA from 1 species
AGGAGCCGUGUGAGGUGAAAGUCUCAUGCACGGUUCUGAAGACCAGUUCCUUAUGGCGACAUAGGGAGCUGAGUUUAAC